AUUCACCUGACUGACUGCAUCAGUCAGCCCAGUCCAGAUACGUUUUGAUGCAUCACUGAAUAUUUUAAUUUCUGUCCUUCAGAACAGCCCCAAAUGUUUGUCCCAGUGCGCUUGCUUGAAAUGGGCUUCUCAAUGAGACACAUCUACAGGGCCAUGGAGGCAGCAGGGGUCACUGGAGAGGUGGACUCACGCACCAUCGAGGUGUUGGCGAGCUGGAUGCUGGAACAUCCCAUCACAGAGGAGCAGCAGGCAGGAGAGGGCUCGUUUGCAGGGGGCGCCACUGAUACGCCCUCAUCUGAAGGGCCAGAGACGGUCCAGUGCCCUGAGUCUCCAGCUCCUCUGACCCUACAAGAGAGCAGAGAACCCAACGAGAGUCUGUUGGCAGGCUUGGACUUGGUGGAGAGAGAGAACUUCUUAGAUGUUCACCUCACCAGGAACAGACCUCCACCUGCGCGGAGGCAGCGGUCCGGAGUAAGUCAGAGAACUUCCUUCAGGAGAGCAGACUCCCCGUCGCCCAGUCCUGUCCCAUCGCUGUACAGACAGGAUGUGGGAGUGGCAGAGUGGCCAGAGCGGGCUGAAACGCACCCCUUUGCUGCUGAAGACGACUCAGAGCUGGGCUACAUGGAUGAUCCGUACCAGGAAGAACCGUAUGAGGAGCUGCUCACCCCAGAGUUCAUCACCUCUGAGAGAGACACGCUGUGGAUGGUAGAGGUAUUGGCGACACUGUCUGUCUUUCUGUCUGU
rnacentral:lncRNA from 1 species